rnacentral:lncRNA from 1 species
UUUUUGCCUGAGCAUUCGUGGUGUGAAGCCUGCUGUUGGUGGCAGCAGUGCUUCCACAACUGAAGAGUGUGAGCUCUGCUGGGCAGCAGUGAUUGCUUCCCAGCACACCGGCCAAAUGCUCCCUCUUUCCUCACUCCCACAGUGAGCCAGAAAACAGCCCCAAGCCUGGAAGGAAGAAAUGACCACCUCUGAACAUUGAUAGAGGCAGCAGAAAAGUGCUUAAAGCAGUUAAGAACAAGGUGAUGAAAAGGCUGUGAGCACAGUCCAUGAUGUCCAGACUCCUCAACAGACCUUGGAUCACACUUCACCUUCCAGGCUGGAUGCUCUUAGUGCACGAGGAUUUCCUGAAGGUUGGACUGUAAUUUGUGAAGAUACUGGAUGACAGGUCUUUGUCUGCCUGGCUGUUAAAAAGAAGAGGUUGACAUUCUAGAGGUAAUAAAGCAAGAAAGAUCCUCUCUUUCA